AAACCAGCACCUCAAGUGGUCAGGAUGAUUAUUGGGCCUAAAGCAUCCGUAGCCUGGUGCAUAAGUUUUCGGUUAAAUCCAUAUGCUCAACAUAUGGGCUGCCGGAAAUACUGUGCACCUAGGGAGUGGGAGAGGUAGACGGUACUCGGUAGGAAGGGGUAAAAUCCUUUGAUCUAUUGAUGACCACCUGUGGCGAAGGCGGUCUACCAGAACACGUUCGACGGUGAGGGAUGAAAGCUGGGGGAGCAAACCGGAUUAGAUACCCGGGUAGUCC
rnacentral:rRNA from 1 species